UACGUAGGGAGCAAGCGUUGUUCGGAUUUACUGGGCGUAAAGGGCGCGUAGGCGGUCAGCACAAGUCAGUUGUGAAAUCUCCGGGCUUAACUCGGAAAGGUCAACUGAUACUGUGCGACUAGAGUGCAGAAGGGGCAACUGGAAUUCUCGGUGUAGCGGUGAAAUGCGUAGAUAUCGAGAGGAACACCUGCGGCGAAGGCGGGUUGCUGGGCUGACACUGACGCUGAGGCGCGAAAGCCAGGGGAGCGAACGGG
rnacentral:rRNA from 1 species